UACGUAGGGUGCAAGCGUUGUCCGGAAUUAUUGGGCGUAAAGAGCUCGUAGGCGGUCUGUCGCGUCUGCUGUGAAAACCUAGGGCUUAACCCUGGGCCUGCAGUGGGUACGGGCAGACUAGAGUGCGGUAGGGGAGACUGGAAUUCCUGGUGUAGCGGUGAAAUGCGCAGAUAUCAGGAGGAACACCGGUGGCGAAGGCGGGGUCUCUGGGCCGUAACUGACGCUGAGGAGCGAAAGCAUGGGUAGCGAACAGG
rnacentral:rRNA from 1 species